rnacentral:rRNA from 1 species
CCACGUAGGGGGCGAGCGUUAUCCGGAUUCAUUGGGCGUAAAGCGCGCGCAGGCGGCGCGCCAAGCGGGACCUCUAAUCUGGGGGCUCAACCCCCAGCCGGGUCCCGAACUGGCGCGCUCGUGUCCGGGAGGGGAGGUCGGAAUUCCCGGUGUAGCGGGGGAAUGCGCAGAUAUCGGGAGGAAAACCGAUGGCGAAGGCAGACCUCUGGGCCGCGACAGACGCUGAGGCGCGAAAGCUAGGGGAGCGAACAGGAUUAGAUACCCUGGUAGUCCUAGCCGUAAACGAUGAUAGCUAGGUGUGGGGGGACCGCCCCUCCGUGCCGCAGCCAACGCAUUAAGCUAUCCGCCUGGGGAGUACGGCCGCAAGGCUAAAACUCAAAGGAAUUGACGGGG